rnacentral:rRNA from 1 species
CAGUCGCCGCGGGAAUACGUAGGGUGCAAGCGUUAAUCGGAAUUACUGGGCGUAAAGCGUGCGCAGGCGGUUUGUUAAGACAGAUGUGAAAUCCCCGGGCUCAACCUGGGAACUGCAUUUGUGACUGGCAAGCUAGAGUAUGGCAGAGGGGGGUGGAAUUCCGCGAGUAGCAGUGAAAUGCGUAGAUAUGCGGAGGAACACCGAUGGCGAAGGCAGCCCCCUGGGCCAAUACUGACGCUCAUGCACGAAAGCGUGGGGAGCAAACAGGAUUAGAUACCCCAGUAGUCCCUGUCUCUUAUAC